rnacentral:lncRNA from 1 species
CAACUCGUGAAUGGUGGGAGAGAGUAUCUUCAGCAAAGGAACAAAAAUUGCCCUGCUCUUGAUUUUCCUCAAAAAAAGACUACAGAAUGCAUUGGCUCCUUAGAGGGAAGUUUAUCCCCUCUCUGAAACUCCCGACUGGUGCUGCUAGAGGGAUGACGGGAGGAACCAGCUUGUCUGUUCCUCCACUCUACUGAUGUGGGAGAGAGUAAAGGCAAAUGGGUCAUGCAAGGGUGGAUCAGGGGUUUUAAAUAUUGCUGUUUCAUACGUGGAAGUGAAAAAUGCUGCUGCAUCUGGAAAUGCUGGCCUGCCCAACCGUAUAAUCACUGUGCUGCUGCAGGCAUCAUCUGCUCCAGAGGCAGGUCUAUGCUAUAGGCUUCCAGCUGCAUAAAUAUGUGCAGCAAGGCGGUGGAGAGCUGUGAUACCUGACCCACGUAGGUAUGCUAAAGCAGCUCUACUGGCAUAACUUGUUUUGCUACGGGGUAGGGAGGGGUGAUAACUUUCCUGGGAUGUACAACGGCAGAACACAGUUUUGCUGCUCUAUCAGCAUCCACAUGCUUUGCUGGUUUAAUAUCACAGGACUCAUAUGCCAGGAUACGAUCUCCCUAAUGCAGACAGACAUUAGACCACCAUGCACUUUCUCAAGGGACAAGCGGGGAAGACUGAAUUUACAGUGCAGCCCUGAAACGCCACCUCUCCUUCAGAGCUGUCACCCCUCGGCUGCACCCCGCCGUACGCCGAACCUUCAGGGAGAACCUUGCAAAUAAACGACAGGCAGGCAAGAGAGAGGCUGCCCAGCCUGCAGGGCUCUCUCCGGCGUCUCCCGAGAGAUAAAAGGCAGGCUCCUGGGACACACAGUCACUCCAGUCUUCAAGAUGGUAUCACAAGGGUUGAGCACAGCUGCAGCCUGUCUGCUAAGUCCUCCGUGCAAAACUUCAAACAGACGCUCCGGCGGCGGAGCAGGGUGCUGACUCACCCAGCCGCCUGGCUGGAAGCGGCCAGGCCAACGCGUCCUGGCUGCCCAGCUCCCGAGCGGGCUGCCUUCAACCGGCUCUGCUGGCCCCAGCUCCCUCAGAGGUCCCUCACGCAGCACGUUAUUUGAGUAAUUCUCUCAGCUUUGGCUUUUUCGGCUCUUUCCCCUGCAAUGUGAUUGUGGGGAAUCGCAGCGUUGCCCGCAUCGCGCAUAGGAACGGCUGCUUUGCAUUGCUACACACCUAGCUGCACCGAGAGUGAGAUGCGAAGGCGCUUAAUGGCUUUAAUUUGAGUGAGUAAAUUCUCCAUGCAGUAAUGGAAUGGGUGUUCCUCUAUAUGAAACACCACCAUUCAUAUAAAUGCGAUCAGCAAAUAUUAAGGAGCUGCCAGAAGUUAACAUUGUAGUUAGGCAAGUGCUACUAGUUAUAACCACUUUAUAUCCUAUGCAUAGGCUUGGUCUUUUUUUCAUAGCCAUCUUAAAGACCAAGCAAAAUUUAGAAACCCAUGAUUUUGACAAAACGAGGUGUCUUUCCCCAUGAGUCAGAGCGGUACAAAGGAUGAGACACGUUGAGCGUGGAAGCAAUGAAAUUGUAGAUUUUCCCAGGCCCAGAUUAUUCGCCUGGCUUUGCCACAUUCCUUUAACAAGCAACUGCUCCACAGACCUACACGUACACCUGCAUAUGCCUACUUGCAAAUAAGAUGCAGCAUUUUCCCUUCUGAUAUUUACUUUAUUUCUUCAAGAAACUGAGGGGAAAAACAGAUCCCCUGGAGUCAGUCGGAAGUCAGCACUAGCUUCAACAGGACCAGAGUUUCACUCUGUAACAAGUACAAUUCAAUAUACUGAAAAUAAAAUUGAAGUUAUUCUUUGCUUUAUAAACUAA